rnacentral:rRNA from 1 species
CUACGUAGGGUGCGAGCGUUAAUCGGAAUUACUGGGCGUAAAGCGUGUGCAGGCGGUUAUAUAAAACAGAUGUGAAAUCCCCCGGCUCAACCUGGGAACUGCAUUUGUGAAUGCAUUGCUGGAGUGGGGCAGAGGGGGAUGGAAUUCCGCGUGUAGUAGGGAAAUGCGGAGAUAUGCGGAGGGACACCGAUGGCGAAGGCAAUCCCCUGGGCCUGCACUGACGCUCAUGUACGAAAGCGUGGGGAGCAAACAUGAUUAGAUACCCUUGUAGUCCACGCCCUAAACGAUGUCAACUGGUUGUUGGGUCUUCACUGACUCAGUAGCGAAGCUAACGCGUGAAGUUGACCGCCUGGGGAGUACGGCCGCAAGGUUGAAACUUAAAGGAAUUGGCGGGG